UGAUUUAAAAUGUUAAGAUCAUGGGACAUGCUGGGAAUUUUAAAAAUUGAAGUGAUAUUAAGUCAGGCUACCCGACUUAAAAACAUUUCAUAAUUAAAAUAAAAAUAUAAUUAAUAAAAUAGAAAACGAAAGAUGGUUCUCACUUCUCACACGACCUUCUCCCUCAACACGGACAAAACUGAACCCUAAACGCCUCUCCGCCGCGAACUUCUCCCUCUUUGCAACGAAGCCCUAAAUGCCUCUCCACGAAUCCCCUCUCCGAUGCCUCUCGGCGAACCUUCCUUCCUCUGCGACGAAAUCCUUUCUACUACCACCGGUGACUUUGUUCUUCCGCCUCGUUGUUCAGAGUUUUCAAGGUUAAAUCAGUUUUCCUUUCGAUUCUAGUCUUCUCAUUCUUCAAUAGAUUAUGAUUCUAAUUUUCCUUUUGUUUUGCUUCAUUUUGCUUUCAGAGUUUUCAAGGGUUUUUCAACAGUUCUCUUCGUUGUUGCCGCCAUCAUCACGUUCAAGUCUUAAUCAACCCUAUUUCUUCAGU
rnacentral:lncRNA from 1 species